rnacentral:lncRNA from 1 species
UUCUUCAAAUGAAUGAUCUACAUAAAAUAAUGUAAAAAAAAAAAAUGCCAAAAAAAGGGGGUAUCAGCAAAAAAGUUAGAUACUUCAAUCACUGAACCUUGACCAUCAUAUAUAAAGUGAUUGUUGUAGUAAUAGUUACAUUUGUUAAUUAUAUAGAUUAUAAGUGAUUAUUGAAAUAUAUAAGCAGGACCAAAUAGGCCCAAAAAUGUACCUUCUUCUUUGAUUGAUUUAAUUUAUUUAGUGUAUUACAAAAAAGUAUUUCAUUAACACUUACACGUUCAACUUCUUACAUCUUUCCAACCAGACAUAUAAUUUUGUAAAAAAAAUUAUUUAGAAUCUUUUCACAAUCAAAACAAAUCAAUAGCAUUAGAAUCUGAUUUCAAGGGACCUCAAUUAUUUAAAAUAAAUUUUACAUCUCCAAUUCUCUACAAGAUCUUUCUUUUCAAAAGAAAACAAAUAUGUGUAAAUGUUAAAUAACACUGGUGAAGAUCAGUUACAGAUUUUUAUAAUGUGUUUAGUUUGAAAUUUCAUUACACCUUAUCACUGUUCCUCUGCCAUUACAGACAUUUUGUUAAAUUUUAAUGUCUUAAGAGGAAAUGUCUGACACAACAAUGCAAAUGCCAUUGUUGUAUAACGUCAAUAGUUCAAGUGUCACAUAAUCUCAGAUCAUGUGUUGCAGAUUCUAAAAAAGCAAUCAGAUCUAUAAUAAUCAUCUUUAUAGUCAUAUUCUAAUAAAACACAACCGAGAAUAUGAGAAUAUUGUGCUCCAAUUUGGGAGUAGCAGUGAAGCUUAUAACCAGUAAAAUGCUACUAUAUGGAAUUAUGUGGAUUCAUUUAUUUUCAUGGGUACAAAUUUUGGUGGAUAGAGAAAAGACUGUAUUUUUAUGAAUAUUAACUUUUUGUGGUUUAGUCAAAGUUUGCAUGUAAGACUAUAAAAUGUUUGUACUUCAUUGAACAUUUAAAUUCAUUAAAUCCAAAAAAUUCAUGAAAAAUUUGUAUCUCACGAAAAAAUAAUGAAUCUACAGUAAUAUAUAUAUUGCAAAUAAAAUGCCAUAUUAUAAGAGUAUAAUUAACACAAUAAAGAGGUCAUACUAAAUAAUACAUAUAAUACUUAAUAUGAUGUAGAACUUCUACCAGAAGUGUAAAUUAACUAAAAUGACAGACUUGAUAUGGCCUUUAUAUGUAUUAAAACAUAACACUAUUACAUGCAUAUGUUGUACACUAACACUGAAAACAGAUUCUUGUCCAUAAUACACAGUCAAAAUUUAUUACACAUUCAAUAAAGCUGGUUUGAUGAUAAUCCUUUAUCUUCCCAUAAAAACUGUGGAGAAAAUAUAUACAUAAAAAUCAAUUCUUAGUAAACUAAAAAUGGCUGCAUCAUUCUUGAUUUUUUUAAAAUAAAAUUAAGAAUAUCAUGAAUAUCUAGAAAAGCCUUAUAACAUGUAUAAAGGUAGGUACAGAAAGUACAAAAAUAAAAAAAGUACCACAAAUCUACCAAAUAACAUUCUUCAAAUGUUAAAAAGACAUUUAAAGUUGUGUUCAACAUUCAAUAUCUAUAACUUUCAACAUCAACCAGAUGCUCCGCAGGGCGCAGCUUUAUACGACCGCAGAGGUCAAAACCCUGAACAGUUUUGGCAAGUCAUAUCCAACUAUGGCAGUCAUCACGUGACUUUGAUGACGUCACUCAUCACCCGUAUUA